CAUUGACAUCACGUCUAGUAUUACACAACAAUAAAUUCAGACAAGCUUCAAGGUCAAACCUCUCGCCGAGUACCCGAGUUCUCAAUGGCGCCAGUUGCAUGGUUAGCGCGCUUAUCAACAAAGAGGUCGCGGGUUCUAUCCCCGCACGGGGACUCAGAAGUAUUUUCCGAGUAAUAAAGCUUGAGAACAACUUUUACUCAUUAUGUA